rnacentral:ncRNA from 1 species
AGACGGUUCUCUUAAUUGAGAUUCAAAGGGAACACGGUUAAAAACCGUGGCUGCCCCCGCAACUGUUAGCAGAGAGUAUGAGCUCUUAUACCACUGGGAAACCGGGAAGGUGAGCCAAAUACCACGACCUGUGAGCCAGGAGACCUGCCGUCAGAG